rnacentral:rRNA from 1 species
GACGAACGCUGGCGGCGUGCCUAAUACAUGCAAGUCGAACGCAGUUGCGAACGGGUGAGUAACGUGUAGGUAACUGCCUCAUAGCGGGGGAUACCUAUUGGAAACGAUAGCUAAUACCCCUUACUGUGAGAUGUACCUUCGUUGUAUUAGCUAGUUGGUGAGGUAAAGGGUCAACAAGGCCUCGAUACAUAGCCUACCUGAGGGGGUGGUCGGCCAAACUGGGACUGAGACACGGCCCAGACUCCUACGGGAAGCAGCAAUAGGGGAUCUUCGGAAAUGGACGGAAGUCUGACCGAGGAAAGCCGCGUGAGUGAAGAAGGGUCUCGGAUCGUAAAGCUCUGUUGUGAGAGGAGCGGUAACGAAAAAGAAAGGGACGGCUAACUACGUGCCAGCAGCCGCGGUAAUAC